rnacentral:rRNA from 1 species
GUAGUCCACGCCCUAAACGAUGUCAACUGGUUGUCGGGGAAGUUAUUCCUUGGUAACGAAGCUAACGCGUGAAGUUGACCGCCUGGGGAGUACGGCCGCAAGGUUAAAACUCAAAGGAAUUGACGGGGACCCGCACAAGCGGUGGAUUAUGUGGAUUAAUUCGAUGCAACGCGAAAAACCUUACCUACCCUUGACUUGUACGGAACCCCGCAGAGAUGCGGGGGUGCCCGAAAGGGAGCCGUAACACAGGUGCUGCAUGGCUGUCGUCAGCUCGUGUCGUGAGAUGUUGGGUUAAGUCCCGCAACGAGCGCAACCCUUGUCAUUAGUUGCCACAUUAAGUUGGGCACUCUAGUGAGACUGCCGGUGACAAACCGGA